UAUUUAUUUGGGCAGUUAGAAUUUCAAUUCAGGGGACAUAGACUCAGGUAGAAACUCAAAACGUGUUCUGAUUAUGGGAGAGGGGCUCCGGGUUUUUACGGGAAAAAGGGAGGAUGGGGUGAGCUGUAUUACAGAGGAGUUCAUUGGUGCUAGAUGAGGUCAGGCUAGGUUUGUACUUCACUGAUUGACCUGAGAUUCCGUCAUCAGGCAAGAGCCUAGACUUGUACUUUGUUGGUGAGCGAUUCGGUCAUCACCAAGUCCAGGUCAUGAUUCGGUCAUCAUCAGUCCUUACAGACAGGAUAUUCUUGUCCUUACUGACUUCUUGGAAUGUCAGCGGUUUGGUCCAACCUGGGUCACAUGGCCACCCCAAACCAAUCACUGGCAUGAUUCAUCCCUAGGAUGCGGGCCCCCAGCACGUUGCUGAACACUUCUUUCUGCUUCUCUCUCAGGUCUCUGGUCCACAAAAAAUGUCUCUUCCACUGGAAAAAAAAAAACAAAACCCAAUUUUUAACCAUGGAAAUUUGAAGCAUAUUCCAAGUAGAGAGAAUGACGUAAUAAACCCCAGUUCAGAAGAUCCAACUGGGGGAGGGGCUUGGAGUACUGUGACAGUCCCUCCUCCCAAGCAAAGCCCCUCUGAGCCCAGAGCAAGCAUG
rnacentral:lncRNA from 1 species